AAAAGAUCAACCUGGACACGGCCCUGCGCCUCACACACUCCUGCUACCGUGUCCCAGAGCCUAUCGGACAGACGGUCAUCAACGUUGACCCUUGAUAAGCUGUACUGCUGCCAGCCAGCACUCAAACAGCUGAGAGAAAGAAAAACCCUCAGUCUGUCUGAUCUCUACAGUUAAGAGCGAGAGAGAGAGAGAGAUGAAAGAGAAAGGUGACAUCAUGGUUGGAGUCUGCAGUGAAGAGUUGAUGGUGCAGAGGGCUGAGGGAAGAGUCAAGGCAAUGCAGCAGAGUCUGUAUGCACAGUGCGUUGAGUGCGGAGGAACACGCGCUUUUACACGGACAUGAUGAAGCUCUCCAUCUCACCCACUCCCGCCCUGAGAGGAAGAUUGACACGUCUGUGUCAAUAACACACACACACACACACUCCCUUCUUCCUAGCCUUUCCUAAUGAGGCCACAAACAAAGCUGAUGGACAGUAAGAGUCCUUUCACUGAAUGUUGACGGAGGCCAUGCAGACCGUACAG
ensembl:lncRNA